rnacentral:rRNA from 1 species
GACGAACGCUGGCGGCGUGCUUAACACAUGCAAGUCGAACGAUGAAGCAAAGAAUCGAAGCUUCGGCAGAAAUUCAUUUCGGAUUAGUGGCAGACGGGUGAGUAACGCGUGAGCAACCUACCUCUUACAAAGGGAUAGCCUCGGGAAACCGGGAUUAAUACCAUAUAACAUUGUGACGAAGCAUUUCGAUGCAAUCAAAGCUACGGCGGCAAGAGAUGGGCUCGCGUCCCAUUAACCGGAUGGUGAGGUAACGGCUCACCAUAGUGACGAUGGGUAACCGGCCUGAGAGGGUGAACGGUCACACUGGAACUGAGACACGGUCCAGACUCCUCCGGGAGGCAGCAGUGGGGAAUAUUGCACAAUGGAGGGAACUCUGAUGCAGCGACGCCGCGUGAGUGAUGAAGGAAUUCGUUUCGUAAAACUCUGUUCUAUGGGAAGAAAAGGACUGUACCAUAGGAGAAAGCUCCGGCUAAAUACGUG